UUGAUAUUGGUUGACUCUAUAUUGUGCAUUGCACUGACACUUUUCACUUUGUUGCACUUUAAGUUUUUAAAAGUAUAGCGCACCUUUUUUAUCUUGUAUACACUUCCUAUAUGUCUGUUAUCCAGAAAAAACAUUAAUAUGUAAGGGACAAUUGUUUCUUUAACUACCUUUACCUUUGACUCAGGGGCAACAGGUAGAUUUCUUAUAGACAAAUAC